AUUGAACGCUGGCGGCAGGCCUAACACAUGCAAGUCGAACGAGUGGCGGACGGGUGAGUAAUGUCUGGGAAACUGCCUGAUGGAGGGGGAUAACUACUGGAAACGGUAGCUAAUACCGCAUACCAUCAGAUGUGCCCAGAUGGGCUUAGCUUGUGGGUGGGGUAACGGCUCACCAAGGCGACGAUCCCUAGCUGGUCUGAGAGGUUGACCGGCCACACGGGAACUGAGAAACGGCCCAGACUCCUACGGGAGGCAGCAGUGGGGAAUAUUGCAAAAUGGGCGCAAGCCUGAUGCAGCCAUGCCGCGUGUAGGAAGAAGGCCUUCGGUUUGUAAAGUACUUUCAGCGGGGAGGCGUUACCCGCAGAAGAAGCACCGGCUAACUCCGUGCCAGCCGCCGCGGUAAUUC
rnacentral:rRNA from 1 species